AAGUCGUAACAAGGUUUCCGUAGGUGAACCUGCGGAAGGAUCAUUCACAAUAAGUGUUCAAUGGCACUUUUCAAUCCAUUACCCACCUUGUGUGCAAUGUCAGAAGAGAAGGGGAACCCCUCCCUCUCUCUCCUCUCUCUCUUGUGGAGGGGGGAGGGGGAAAAGGAGGUGUUCUCUUUUUUUUUCAUACAUACAUCAUGUUCUUUCAGUAUCAGUCUACAUCAAUUGAGUAUAAAAUCUCUAAUACAACUUUCAACAACGGAUCUCUUGGCUCUC
rnacentral:misc_RNA from 1 species